ACUCAAGGUUGACCUCGGAUCAGGUAGGACUACCCGCUGAACUUAAGCAUAUCAAUAAGCGGAGGAAAAGAAACCAACAGGGAUUGCCCCAGUAACGGCGAGUGAAGCGGCAACAGCUCAGAUUUGGAAUCUGGCCCCCAGGGCCCGAGUUGUAAUCUGGAGAGGAUGCUUCUGGCGCGGCGCCUUCCGAGUUCCCUGGAACGGGACGCCGGAGAGGGUGAGAGCCCCGUACGGUUGGACGCCUAGCCUUUGUGAAGCUCCUUCGACGAGUCGAGUAGUUUGGGAAUGCUGCUCAAAAUGGGAGGUAAAUUUCUUCUAAAGCUAAAUACCGGCCAGAGACCGAUAGCGCACAAGUAGAGUGAUCGAAAGAUGAAAAGCACUUUGAAAAGAGGGUCAAACAGUACGUGAAAUUGUUGAAAGGGAAGCGCCCGUGGCCAGACUUGUGCCCCGCGGACCACCCGGCGCCCUCAGCGCCGGUGCACUCCGCGGGGCGCAGGCCAGCAUCGGUUUUCCUAGGGGGAUAAAGGCGGCGGGAACGUGGCUCCCUCGGGAGUGUUAUAGCCCGCCGCGCCAUGCCCCUGGGGGGACCGAGGACCGCGCUUCGGCAAGGAUGCUGGCGUAAUGGCCACCGGCGACCCGUCUUGAAACACGGACCAAGGAGUCAAGCAUUGGGGCGAGUGUCUGGGUGUUAAACCCGCACGCGAAAUGAAAGUAAACGCAGGUGAGAGCUUCGGCGCAUCAUCGACCGAUCCUGAUGUUCUCGGAUGGAUUUGAGUAAGAGCCUUACCGCUUGGACCCGAAAGAUGGUGAACUAUGCCUGUAUAGGGUGAAGCCAGAGGAAACUCUGGUGGAGGCUCGCAGCGGUUCUGACGUGCAAAUCGAUCGUCAAAUAUGGGCAUUGGGGGCGAAAGACUAAUCGAACCAUCUAGUAGCUGGUUACCGCCGAA
rnacentral:rRNA from 1 species